CCUACGGGCGGCUGCAGUGGGGAAUAUUGGACAAUGGGGACAACCCUGAUCCAGCCAUGCCGCGUGUGUGAAGAAGGCCCUCGGGUUGUAAAGCACUUUCAGUGAGGAAGAACGCCUGGUGGUUAAUACCCAUCAGGAAAGACAUCACUCACAGAAGAAGCACCGGCUAACUCCGUGCCAGCAGCCGCGGUAAUACGGAGGGUGCGAGCGUUAAUCGGAAUUACUGGGCGUAAAGCGCGCGUAGGUGGCUUGAUAAGCCGGUUGUGAAAGCCCCGGGCUCAACCUGGGAACGGCAUCCGGAACUGUCAAGCUAGAGUGCAGGAGAGGAAGGUAGAAUUCCCGGUGUAGCGGUGAAAUGCGUAGAGAUCGGGAGGAAUACCAGUGGCGAAGGCGGCCUUCUGGACUGACACUGACACUGAGGUGCGAAAGCGUGGGUAGCAAACAGGAUUAGAUACCCCAGUAGUC
rnacentral:rRNA from 1 species